rnacentral:rRNA from 1 species
CAGUAGCCGCGGUAAUACAGAGGGUGCGAGCGUUAAUCGGAUUUACUGGGCGUAAAGCGUGCGUAGGCGGCUUCUUAAGUCGGAUGUGAAAUCCCUGAGCUUAACUUAGGAAUUGCAUUCGAUACUGGGAAGCUAGAGUAUGGGAGAGGAUGGUAGAAUUCCAGGUGUAGCGGUGAAAUGCGUAGAGAUCUGGAGGAAUACCGAUGGCGAAGGCAGCCAUAUGGCCUAAUACUGACGCUGAGGUACGAAAGCAUGGGGAGCAAACAGGAUUAGAUACCCCAGUAGUCCCUGUCUCUUAUAC